rnacentral:rRNA from 1 species
GACGAACGCUGGCGGCGUGCCUAAUACAUGCAAGUCGAGCGGAAUGAUGAAGAAGCUUGCUUCUUCUGAUUUUAGCGGCGGACGGGUGAGUAACACGUGGGCAACCUACCUUGUAGAUUGGGAUAACUCCGGGAAACCGGGCUAAUACCGAAUAAUCCAUUUUGCUUCAUGGCGAGAUGUUGAAAGACGGUUUCGGCUGUCACUACAAGAUGGGCCCGCGGCGCAUUAGCUAGUUGGUAGGGUAAUGGCCUACCAAGGCGACGAUGCGUAGCCGACCUGAGAGGGUGAUCGGCCACACUGGGACUGAGACACGGCCCAGACUCCUACGGGAGGCAGCAGUAGGGAAUCUUCCACAAUGGACGAAAGUCUGAUGGAGCAACGCCGCGUGAGUGAAGAAGGUUUUCGGAUCGUAAAACUCUGUUGUAAGGGAAGAACACGUACGAGAGUAACUGCUCGUACCUUGACGGUACCUUAUUAGAAAGCCACGGCUAACUACGUG